rnacentral:rRNA from 1 species
AUGGCCGGGCCCGACCGCCUGUCCGACCUCCCCGACGAUCUUCUCCAGCGGAUCCUCCACUACGCCCCGGCCAAGGAAGCGGCCUCCACAGUCGCGCUCUCGCGGCGAUGGCGCUCGCCGCUCUGGUGCUCCUCUGGCGCCGUGAACCUCGAGACGGUUGUCGAGGAAUACGUUCCCCGCGGCUGGGGGUACGAAGACAAACGCGAAGAAUUUGACGAGGCCCUCUUCCUCUCCCGGCGAGAUGCCUUCGUCUCCGCCGCCGAGGCGGCACUCGACGCCGCCGACGUCCCCAUCACCAGGCUUACCCUGCGCUUUAACUUCAUGGGUAACUACGGAUCUAGCAUAAUGAAGUUUCUGCACUAUGACCGCGAUGGGUCCCGGUCGCCGGACCGAGGUGGGUCACGGUCGCCCGACCCAGAAGGCUCCCGGUCGUCGGACCGAGAUCGGUCACAGUCGCCGGACCCCAAAGGCUCCCGGUCGUCGGACGACGAAUCCGACGACCGAGACUGGUCAUCGGACGGGGAAGGGUCCCUCUCUCAGGAUCGGGACGGGUCAGUCUCGCCGGACCGAGACCGGUCACAGUCGCCGAACCCAGACGUGCUCGGCAAGUUGCUCUCCCACGAGACCGUCCGCCGUGUCGAGGAGCUCCGGCUCGUCGUGAAUGACUGCAGAUGCGACAUGUAUGCCUAUGACGACGACGACAAAAUCUCCUCCAGCUCGAGGUCGGAAGGCAUCUUGAGCCUCAGCCUCUACUCCCUGCCGUCGGUGGCCCUCCGCGUGCUUGAACUCACCGGCUGCAAGAACUUCGUUACGCUUCCGCGGGCAGCCAAGUUAGCGUUCCCGCGGCUCCGGUCGCUGCGGCUGCGCCAUUGUACCGUGCAGGUCGACGCUCUGCAGGGCCUCGUCGAUGCUGCGGCAGAGCUUACCGCAGUUCACAUUGAGUUUGUCAUGAUCGAACAACUCAACGACGAGAUGACCCUCCGGUGCCCCACAGCAACCGUGAUCGUGCUGAAGGGGUGCAAUUGGAAGGAGAACGCUAAUCCAUGGUGUGUCCACAACAAACCCGAGGAGCCCAUGGUGAUCGACGCGCCGAGGCUGCGGCGCUUCAGGUACAAGGGGCUUCUCCGGCCGUUCUCGCUGAGUCCGCAGCCACUGGACUUAGCUCAGGGGGACCUGCAUUUUGUCCUGCGCCAUGGCAGAGAUGGAAAGAAAGUUUGGUGCCACGACGGCGAGGAUCCACGCUGUGGAGAGCUCGACCUCGAGGUCUUCUGGCAAUUCCUUCAGAGUUUUAGCACCGCCAAGGAUCUAAAGCUGAGGUUGUACGCCCUCGAGCACAUCGCCGUUCUAAGCAAGGCCAUGCGCCUCAAGCUCCUGCCGACAUUCCGCAGACUUGAGCGCCUGGAGCUGCAAGGAUUGCACAGGCCCCAAGGCAUUACCGCGGCUGUGGCGAUCGCGAACCUGCUCCGCUGCUGCCCCGUGCUCUCUGACCUCCACAUCAACCUCACCUUGGCAUGCCAUGAUCUAGUGUAUAGGGGUUGCGAACGCCGAUUUCUGCGAAGAAAAUUCCGGUCUGACCGCGACAAGUCCAUCCAUCUUGUCAACUGCGGCCGCAAUUCUCCGAACGCAUACUACAACAACACUAGGUGUGGUGAGGCCUCUGAGAUCCCUGCCUUGAGUCGGCGCUCGUUCGAUUGCUUGCAGAGCUCCAUGAAAAGAGUGUGUCUGCAGUUCCGGUCUGUGGAUGCAAACUGCUUUGGAGUUAAGCUGGUCAAAUUCUUCGCUGAGAACGCAAUGGUUCUUGAAGAAAUGAGUAUCAACGGCGGAAACGAGAAGUUGGGCGAGCACAUGACUCGCAAGGUUGAAAGAUGGAUUUGUAAUUCAUCUAUCAAGAGAAAGCCCGGAGCAUCAAGCUUCGUGGUCGUGCCCAUUAGGAGAUGA